GCCUAAAAUCCAGCCCAGGGACUCACAUGACCCCCCCAACCAACUGCCCGACAAACAAAACAUUUUAACACUUUAGUACAGGUGAUCAAAAAAUUUCUAAGCGCUUCAGAUAAAGUACCGUAAGGGAAUAAUGAAAUAGAAAUGAAAUAAUCUUAAAGCCCUAAAUAGCAGAGCUUCCCCCUCGUACCUUUUGCAUCAUGGUCUAGCUAGUCUCCCCAGGCAAAAUGAAACUUUUAGUCUGACUCCCCGAAACUAGGCGAGCUACUUCAAAACAGCCCAAAAGGGCCAACCCGUCUCUGUUGCAAAAGAGUGGGAAGAUUUUCAAGUAGAGGUGACAAGCCUACCGAGCUUAGAGAUAGCUGGUUGUUCAGGAAAAGAGUCUCAGCUCUACCUUAAGUUUCUAUUAUUGUAACAAACAAAGCACUAAAUUUAAGAGCUAUUCAAAUAAGGCACAGCUUAUUUGAAGCGGGGUACAACCAAAUACCGGGUUAACCUAGAUAUAAUAAAUAAAGUGGGCCUAAAAGCAGCCAUCUUCUAAAAAGCGUUAAAGCUUAAUAUACCUCUAUCUACAAUUCCACAAUUUUCAAACAACCCUUCACUACUACUGAACUAUUUUAUAAUUUUAUAAAAGCCAUUAUGCUAGAACUAGUAACAAGAAAUUGCCCUUCUCCUAAAUGUAUAUUUAAACCAAGAUGGACCUACCACUGGUAGUUAACGCAAAUGUAAAAAUCAUAACACCACACGACUAGAAAACCCUAUGAUUUCCUCGGCGUUAACCUUACACUAGAGCAUUACAGGAAAGAUUAAAAGAGAAAGAAGGAACUCGGCAAAUUACAGUCCCGCCUGUUUACCAAAAACAUCGCCUCUUGACCAAUUAUAAGAGGUCCAGCCUGCCCAGUGACAUAGUUUAACGGCCGCGGUACCCUAACCGUGCGAAGGUAGCAUAAUCACUUGUUCUCUAAAUAGGGACUCGUAUCAAUGGCAUCACGAGGGCUGUACUGUCUCCUUUCUCCAAUCAGUGAAACUGAUCUCCCCGUGAAGAAGCGGGGAUUGACCUAUAAGACGAGAAGACCCCAUGGAGCUUUAAACCCAAUACACACCCCUACGCACUUAAAUCAACAUAGCCCAAGAAAAUUGUGUAUCGGUUUUAGGUUGGGGGGACCGCGGAGUAAAAUCAAACCUCCACGACAGACGGAUUAAUACCCUUAUCCACGAACUACAAUUCUAAGAACCAAUAAAUUGUUGUCUAAUGACCCAAUUACUUGAUCAACGAACCAAGUUACCCUGGGGAUAACAGCGCAAUCUACUUCAAGAGCCCCUAUCGACAAGUAGGUUUACGACCUCGAUGUUGGAUCAGGGUAUCCUAGUGGUGCAGCCGCUACUAAAGGUUCGUUUGUUCAACGAUUAAAACCCUA
rnacentral:rRNA from 1 species